UACGUAGGUGGCGAGCGUUGUCCGGAAUUACUGGGUGUAAAGGGCGUGUAGGCGGGGAUGUAAGUCAGAUGUGAAAUACCAAGGCUUAACUUUGGGGCUGCAUCUGAAACUAUGUUUCUUGAGUGCUGGAGAGGAAAGCGGAAUUCCUAGUGUAGCGGUGAAAUGCGUAGAUAUUAGGAGGAACACCAGUGGCGAAGGCGGCUUUCUGGACAGUAACUGACGCUGAGGCGCGAAAGCGUGGGGAGCGAACAGG
rnacentral:rRNA from 1 species